rnacentral:rRNA from 1 species
CGCCCAUUAAAGCGGUACGCGAGCUGGGUUUAGAACGUCGUGAGACAGUUCGGUCCCUAUCCGUCGUGGGCGUAGGAAAUUUGAGAGGAGCUGUCCUUAGUACGAGAGGACCGGGAUGGACGCACCGCUGGUGUACCAGUUGUUCUGCCAAGGGCAUAGCUGGGUAGCUAUGUGCGGAAGGGAUAAGUGCUGAAAGCAUCUAAGCAUGAAGCCCCCCUCAAGAUGAGAUUUCNNNNNNNNNNCCGAUCUAUCAGAACAGCAAAAGCUUUUUCCCCAGAGUGCAAGAACAAAGUGUGUGAAGCCUGUUGUAUCAAGAACCAAAGAUCAGGUUGAUAGGUUCGAGGUGGAAGCAUGGUGACAUGUGGAGCUGACGAAUACUAAUAGAUCGAGGACUUAACCAU